rnacentral:rRNA from 1 species
UACGGGGGGAGCAAGCGUUGUUCGGAUUUACUGGGCGUAAAGCGCGUGUAGGCGGAUGAGCAAGUCUGCUGUGAAAGCUCCUGGCUUAACCGGGAGUGGUCGGUGGAAACUGCUCGUCUGGAGGACGGUAGAGGUAGGUAGAAUUCCCGGUGUAGUGGUGAAAUGCGUAGAGAUCGGGAGGAAUACCUGUGGCGAAGGCGGCCUACUGGGCCGGACCUGACGCUGAGACGCGAAGGCGUGGGGAGCGAACGGG